CGGAAAGUAGCACUCGCGGAGGAAAUUUUGACGUUUUGAAGGUAAAUUCGGGCCUCCAAAAUAACUAGCAAAAGCUUAGGUAAAAGUGAAGUCAUCGCAACAGUGAAGACAUUGAAAAGAUAACGCCUAUGCAUUGCCGGAUUGACUAUGGCCGAUGAUGACAAUUUUGAGCCUCGGGAGCGCCGCCAGCGGAGGCUCCGUCCGCGCAUCAACAUGGGAGCACUGCAUCCAACGACAUUCAGGGAAAACUUCCGCCUCAGCGUCGAGGUCGCCACUGCACUGGAAGACCUCAUUAGCGGGACGGUGGCGCACGACACGGGCUUAAAUAUGGCACUGACACCUCGCCAGCAGCUGCUCGUGUCGCUGCGGUUCUAUGCUACCGGUGCGUAUCUGCGCCUGGUGGGAGACGGCCACGGCGUCUCCGAGGCCACCGUGUGCCUCGCCAUUCACCGCGUGACGGAUGCGAUAAUCCACCGCUGCCCAGGGGCCAUCACCUGGCCGAGCGACCCGGCGGCUCUCGGACGUCUCAAGGAGGACUUUCGACAGGUCGCCGGGCUG